GACAGAGGAGCCGAGCGUUAGGCGGAAUUACUGGGCGUAAAGCGCACGUAGGCGGCUUUGUAAGUUAGAGGUGAAAGCCCGGGGCUCAACCCCGGAACUGCCUUUAAGACUGCAUCGCUUGAAUCCAGGAGAGGUGAGUGGAAUUCCGAGUGUAGAGGUGAAAUUCGUAGAUAUUCGGAAGAACACCAGUGGCGAAGGCGGCUCACUGGCCUGGUAUUGACGCUGAGGUGCGAAAGCGUGGGGAGCAAACAGG
rnacentral:rRNA from 1 species